rnacentral:rRNA from 1 species
UACGGGGGGGAGCAAGCGUUGUUCGGAUUUACUGGGCGUAAAGGGCGCGUAGGCGGCGUGACAAGUCACUUGUGAAAUCUCCGGGCUUAACCCGGAGCGGCCAAGUGAUACUGUCGUGCUAGAGUGCGGAAGGGGCUACUGGAAUUCUCGGUGUAGCGGUGAAAUGCGUAGAUAUCGAGAGGAACACCUGCGGCGAAGGCGGGUAGCUGGGCCGACACUGACGCUGAGGCGCGAAAGCGUGGGGAGCGAACAGG